rnacentral:rRNA from 1 species
AUUGAACGCUAGCGGCAUGCCUUACACAUGCAAGUCGAACGGCAGCACGGGGGCAACCCUGGUGGCGAGUGGCGAACGGGUGAGUAAUGCAUCGGAACGUGCCCAUCGAUGGGGGAUAACUGCGCGAAAGCGUUGCUAAUACCGCAUACGACCUACGGGUGAAAGCAGGGGACCGCAAGGCCUUGCGUCGAUGGAGCGGCCGAUGCCGGAUUAGCUAGUUGGUGAGGUAAAGGCUCACCAAGGCGACGAUCCCGUAGCUGGUCUGAGAGGACGACCAGCCACACUGGGACUGAGACACGGCCCAGACUCCUACGGGAGGCAGCAGUGGGGAAUCUUGGACAAUGGGCGAAAGCCUGAUCCAGCAAUGCCGCGUGUGGGAAGAAGGCCCUCGGGUUGUAAACCACUUUUGGCGGGAAAGAAAUGGUCUGUGCUAAUACCACGGAUUGAUGACGGUACCCGCAGAAUAAGCACCGGCUAACUACGUG